AAAUGAACUUUGAGUAGUUAUUGAGAUGCUUUCUCAAAACAAAUUCUGUACUUUCUUAAAUAGAGAAAACAUUGGUUCCAUAGUUAAAUGUGUGUAAGAUAUAUUUUCUUUGAAUUGGAUGCGGUUGAGAUGUUAAAUUUUUUUGCUCAAUUCUUGUACAGAUGGAUACCAAUGAAGAUUUCAAAAGCAUUUUCUGGAAAUGUUGCACAGGGAGAUUUGUGUUGGCCACUCUUUGCUUUGUGUUAGCCAAUCCUUACAAGUUCAGGGAUGCUACACCAAAUCAAAUUAGAGAGUUAAUGAAGUUUGAUGGGCUUACUAAUGAUGAAGUUCAAAAGCCAUUUGCAGGUUUGUAUAUGUGAUUAUCCAUUUGUUUUGAACCAUAAUUUGGUUGAUGUGAAUAAAAUUUUACACAUACAAGAUAGAAAUUGGAAGCCAUUUUGCAUGUGAUUAGUGAUGAAUUUUUUUACACAUAGAUGUGAUUAUCCUUGUGAAAUAUUUUUUUUAAACAUAUGUUUCUGUAUUAAAAAAGAGCACAUUUUGAGCUUUCGCACUGGGCACCAAAAAACUCAGGACCGGACUUGCUGAUUGUACACAAGUGGCCAGAUAUCAUUCGCCUUUGCAAGAACAACAUUCACUUAAUCAUUUCAUCAUGCACCUCUA